CACGAGUAAUAAUCUAUCACGAACAUCAGCGUAUCGGAUUUUAAUGGAGAAAUUUUGAGGGCGCCGCGCUUGAGUAUCGACAAGAGCCAGUGCGGGUUUCGUCGAUACAACAAAGAAACCGAUUUCGGCGAUUAUAGCGAGCCGCUAACGGCCGUAUUCCUAUUUAUACCUUAACGUUUGCUAUCCCGAAGCGGACCCGAGCAAAUUGAGUCGUCGAAAUGGUCGAAUAAAUUUUCAAAUUUAUGUAAUGAGCUCGACGGCUCAUCAGUUAAAAAAACCCGCAGGGUUUCCUCAGCCAUCCCCGGGCACCUCGUCGCGGACCGGUCAUUCGAGCGGAUGAUGCAUGGAACACGCGCGGCGGAGUCAAACGGAAUCCGCAGUAAUAAGGACGCAUCGUUGCUGAAUGAGAGUAAUAAUGGGCUAGACACACGUGAAUAAAGAUAUGGUAAUUGGGGAAGGUACGACAGAUUGAUGAGACUUUACGGUUAUUCGAUGGCGCGGACGAUGGAGAUGUCACUUCCACGAUUUGUGGCGUUUGUAUUCGGUAGUUUCGUGAUUUUAUCCGAGAUACGCUGCUUUCGCGUGUCGAGCACUGUGUUUAAUAAAAUGUAACAAAUUUAUCGCUAUUAUAUUAGUAAUCACGA